UACGAAGGGGGCAAGCGUUGUUCGGAUUUACUGGGCGUAAAGGGCGCGUAGGCGGAUUUACAAGUCAGAGGUGAAAGCCCUGGGCUCAACCCGGGAAUGGCCUUUGAGACUGUAAGUCUUGAGUGCGAGAGAGGGUGGCGGAAUACCCAGUGUAGAGGUGAAAUUCGUAGAUAUUGGGUAGAACACCGGUGGCGAAGGCGGCCACCUGGCUCGCAACUGACGCUGAGGCGCGAAAGCGUGGGGAGCAAACAGG
rnacentral:rRNA from 1 species